rnacentral:rRNA from 1 species
UCGGGAAUUUUGGGCAAUGGGCGAAAGCCUGACCCAGCAACGCCGCGUGAGGGAUGAAGUAUUUCGGUAUGUAAACCUCGAAAGAAUGGGAAGAAUAAAUGACGGUACCAUUUAUAAGCUCCGGCUAACUACGUGCCAGCAGCCGCGGUAAUACGUAGGGAGCAAGCGUUGUUCGGAUUUACUGGGCGUAAAGGGCGCGUAGGCGGCGCGGUAAGUCACUUGUGAAAUCUCUGAGCUUAACUCAGAACGGCCAAGUGAUACUGCUGUGCUAGAGUGCGGAAGAGGCAACCGGAAUUCUUGGUGUAGCGGUGAAAUGCGUAGAUAUCAAGAGGAACACCUGAAGCGAAGGCGGGUUGCUGGGCCGACACUGACGCUGAUGCGCGAAAGCCAGGGGAGCAAACG